GAUGAACGCUGGCGGCGUGCCUAAUACAUGCAAGUCGAGCGAACAGAUAAGGAGCUUGCUCCUUUGACGUUAGCGGCGGACGGGUGAGUAACACGUGGGUAACCUACCUAUAAGACUGGGAUAACUUCGGGAAACCGGAGCUAAUACCGGAUAAUAUUUCGAACCGCAUGGUUCGAUAGUGAAAGAUGGUUUUGCUAUCACUUAUAGAUGGACCCGCGCCGUAUUAGCUAGUUGGUAAGGUAACGGCUUACCAAGGCGACGAUACGUAGCCGACCUGAGAGGGUGAUCGGCCACACUGGAACUGAGACACGGUCCAGACUCCUACGGGAGGCAGCAGUAGGGAAUCUUCCGCAAUGGGCGAAAGCCUGAAGGAGCAACGCCGCGUGAGUGAUGAAGGUCUUCGGAUCGUAAAACUCUGUUAUUAGGGAAGAACAUACGUGUAAGUAACUGUGCACGUCUUGACGGUACCUAAUCAGAAAGCCACGGCUAACUACGUG
rnacentral:rRNA from 1 species